rnacentral:tRNA from 1 species
CCUAUGUUGGCUCAGAGGUUAAAGUGUCUGCCUGGAAUGCAGGAGACCUGGGUUCAAUCCCUGGGUUGGA